AGAGCGAACGCUGGCGGCAUGCUUAACACAUGCAAGUCGCACGGGCACUUCGGUGUCAGUGGCGGACGGGUGAGUAACGCGUAGGUAUCUAUCCUUGGGUGGGGGACAACGGUUGGAAACGACUGCUAAUACCGCAUAAUAACUGAGGUUUAAAGGCGCAAGUCGCCUGAGGAGGAGCCUGCGUACGAUUAGCUAGUUGGUGGGGUAAAGGCCUACCAAGGCGACGAUCGUUAGCUGGUCUGAGAGGAUGAUCAGCCACAUUGGGACUGAGACACGGCCCAAACUCCUACGGGAGGCAGCAGUGGGAAUAUUGGACAAUGGGCGAAAGCCUGAUCCAGCAAUGCCGCGUGUGUGAAGAAGGUCUUCGGAUUGUAAAGCACUUUCGACAGGGACGAUGAUGACGGUACCUGUAGAAGAAGCCCGGCUAACUUCGUGCCAGCAGCCGC
rnacentral:rRNA from 1 species